rnacentral:rRNA from 1 species
UACCCGCUGAACUUAAGCAUAUCAAUAAGCGGAGGAAAAGAAACUAACAAGGAUUCCCCUAGUAACGGCGAGUGAAGAGGGAAAAGCCCAAGUUUGAAAGCUGGCACCUUCGGUGUCCGCAUUGUAAACUCGAGAAGUGUUAUCCGCGCCGGACCAGACUUUAAAUCCUUUGGAAUAAGGUACCUUAGAGGGUGAUAGUCCCUUUCGUAGUUUGGAACCCCCGGGGCUUUGUGAUGCGCUCUCCAAGAGUCGAGUUGUUUGGGAAUGCAGCUCAAAAUGGGUGGUAAAUGCCAUCUAAGGCUAAAUACAGAGGAGAGACCGAUAGCCA